UCUUGGUCUCUCUGGCCUUGGUGCACCUGUCUGCUCCCAAGAUGAUUCUUCUGUUUCUUGAUGGCUCUCCCUGAGGACUGGGAGGACCCAGGCUGGGGCCUCCUCCCUGUCUCAGCACUGGCCACUGACUCAGCUUGGGUCCUGAUGAGGCACUGCUGAGGACGCCCUCAUUCCAGCCCUCAUUCCUGUCUGGCAAUCAUCUACACACAACGUCAAAAGAGUGGCACGUACCUGCCGCUUCUCGGAGGAUGGACGAGUCGAACCGGGCACAAGCAUGGAGCUGCGGGUACUCCGGGGCAACCGAUAUACACAGAGAACCACGUGGAGGAAACAGCACGCCAGUUUGGAGCGGUGGAGCACAAAAGAAGUGGACUGGAAUGUGACGCGACCGGGCAGCUGGAAGGUAUUGGAAUAGAGUAGUGUCAACGGAGAAGUCUCUGAACUUGAGCCCUGAACCGUAUCAACUUUCAGAUUUUAGGGAAGACUUAAUGUUCCUGUCCCGCUCCUUUCCACCGGAAUUGGGGGGAGGUCCAGUUCCUGAUCUUUACUUUAUUGCCACUUUUAAAGACACUCUGCUCAGUUUUUUUCCCCACGGCCCAGUGGAUAUUGAUGACUGCGUGGGUGGGUAAACAGGGGCACUGAAUCAAUGCAAGGAAUUCUCUUUGGACUAUCAAAGCAUGCCGCUCAGAUUCUUAGUAUAACCUUCUCCUCUCCUCCGCACUGGUGAAGAGAACUAUCCAACCAGCUACAGCUGCAUCUCUCCUGGCCUCUCCACACCCACUCCAGGAGCUGUCCAUCUUGAAUGCAGCAGGCUUGAAUUUGUGCAAAGAAACAGGAUCGAAUUUGGACCAAUCAGCAGCCUCAAACCUGGACCAAUCAGCAGCCUUGGAUUUGGAUCAAUCUCAGAUGACUCUGCUCCCUCUGCUGCUCCAUAUAUUCAAAGCUCCCCUCCCUAGUCUGCGAGAGUUUUCCCUUGUGUACUGUGCACAGGCCUAGUCCAAGCAGAGCCUUGCUCUGGUUGUCUUGUAAUCUGCUCAUGAUUUCUUUCUUGGGUAGUGUACUCAGAAGGUCCUGUAAAUCUACUCAGUAGUGUGGGCAGAGUGGAUCGCUUUAAAAAAGAGCUAUAAACACUAGGGGUCCUGACCCUGAAGAGUUCAGAGACUCAUGGCAGAACUCAACAAAGAUUGGUGAGGAUCUGUGCCAGAGACCAGCAGUGACCACCACCAUGGACCAUGGGUAACUGGUGAUGGCAUCUAUGGCAGUGGAGACCAGCAGAUUCCAGCUAAUAAGGACUCUGGAUAACAGCCAAGAGUUGACUGAAGCUGCCAAGGAGCUAAUGGGGGUGGCAGAGAGCCCAAACACUGAGGUUUAAAGGUCUCUGACACAGCCUAGAGUCUCUAUGCUGCACUCUGCUGAUUCACAAUUUCCAUCCAAAUGGAGCAAAAGAACCCUGAGGACCACAGCAUCACCCCAGUGUCUGCCUCUGCUUUCCCUGUGUCCAGAUUCCCCUUGUGUUAUGGGGACACUUGUCAUGGACUGGGGCCCACCCUAAUCCAGAAUAACUUCAUCUUAACUCAUACAUCUGCAAAGAACCUGUUUCCAAGUAAGGUCAUAUUGACCAGAGGAAGGGAUUAAUUAAAUGCAUCUUUUGGGGGGACACAAGUUGACUCAACAGGUGCCGUAAGUCUUCGAACCUGGCUCCAUGGUGCUUGAUGUCACUUCUUCACCACUAGCCCCUGGACCAUGGUCUUCCUCUCCACCUUUCUCCUUCAUAAUUUCAGAGAUUUCAGCUCCCCCAACAGCCUAUGGGACCUCUUAACCCCUAUUUAUCACUGUGCAUCACCUGCCCAUCCAUGGACAUCUUCACAUCUGUGCCCAGCUCAGACGAUGAUGUCUCAUUAUACUGUCCUCUGCCAACCUCCUCCACUCCCUGCCCCUCCUUCUCUCUGCUGCCCUUGCCUGGAAGCACCUGACCCCACUGAGACAGUCUCACCACCUCCCCAUGCUCGCACCCACAGGUGAAUGAUAUGGGGAAAUCACCUGGCUAGGUUCACUUUGCAUUCAUGACCACAGAUGCCAGAUGGACACACUCAGUGCUGCCCACCAUUUCUGCCAUGUUUCUCAGCUGUGAUUAUUUCCCCAUUAAAUUGAUUUUCUAUUGAUGCAUGAC
rnacentral:lncRNA from 1 species